GACGAACGCUGGCGGCGUGCUUAACACAUGCAAGCCGAACGGUGAACCAGAGCUUGCUCUGGGGAUCAGUGGCGAACGGGUGAGUAACACGUGGGCAACCUGCCCAGACUCUGGGAUAACUCCGGGAAACCGGAGCUAAUACCGGAUAUGACUACUUCGGACAUCCGACGGUAGUGGAAAGUUUUUCGGUCUGGGAUGGGCCCGCGGCCUAUCAGCUAGUUGGUGGGGUAAUGGCCUACCAAGGCGACGACGGGUAGCCGGCCUGAGAGGGCGACCGGCCACACUGGAACUGAGACACGGUCCAGACUCCUACGGAAGGCAGCAGUGGGGAAUAUUGCACAAUGGGCGAAAGCCUGAUGCAGCGACGCCGCGUGAGGGACGACGGGCCUUCGGGUUGUUAAACCGUCUUUACUAGCAGGACGAAGACGAAAGUGAACUGUACCUGACAGAAGAAGACACCGGCUAACUACGUAGCCAGCAGCCGCGGUAA
rnacentral:rRNA from 1 species